UGAUCUUGUAGAAAAAGUAUUUUAUGGAAGACAUUUUCUAAACGGACAUUGAACUGCGUUUGGGACAUGAUGAGGCGGUCAUAAUGGUUCUUUUGGACAACCAAGUUGAUCAGAACUGGCACUGAGUCUCAGUGGAGAGCUGCAGUGGCCCGUCACUUACCGAGCGAAGAUGGCUCUGCAUCUCAGACUAUUUCAAGCUCGCUCUUUCGACCACAGAUGUUACAUCUUGACUGCUCUAUCCAGUUCUCCCUUUGAUUCAUUUGUGUAAAACUCUGAGCGUCCCUGAGGGGGAUCUGGUUACACACACAAACUGCAGGAGAGGCACCUGAUACGGGGAACAUGCAGCAAACAGUGCAUCCCAAAGUAAAAUGACAUAAUCCAAAGAGCCCCCUAACACAAUUAGGAGUGAGGCCGUCAUAGGUGCCGAGCACCAACAAAACGCUCUUCGAGUGGCAGCGCAAA
rnacentral:lncRNA from 1 species